CAACUUUCUUUCUCAUUUCCUUCAGUACGCUUAAAGGUCUGGGGUGGGAGGAGGGAGGAGGUGAGCUCCACAGGCCUGGUCACUGGAAUGUUGUUGAAAAUCUGCCAUUACCAUGGAGAGAUUCAAAGCACUGAAGGUAAAGGUUAAAUUUAAAUCUGUCCGUGUCCAGAAGGAGCAUGGCCUAGAUUAUUGCAACUGGGAUCAGUUUGAAAACAAAGAUGAGUUUCUCUUCAGAAGAAAACUGGGCAGUGUUUUAGGGAUGCUGGAAACAGUAAAGAUUUUGAACAGUUAAAUUUUUCCUCUGUAGUUGAACUCAGGUGGGGUUCCCCUGCUUUCCCCCAUGAAAAAGCAAAGAACUUACACCCCGCUUCUUCUGAGUCUGAGAACACUGAUAAGAAAUGUGUCCAAGUAGAUCUCUGCCAAAGAAUAAAAUUUUAUCUUGAAAAUAACAACAAAGCCAGCAUAUCCUGAGUUUGGAUCCUUUAUUUGUUGACCAUGAUAAUGCUUAGAAGGCAUUAAUUGAGAGAAUUGCUGUUAAACUGAGGGCAAAUUGUGGUUGAUCCCAUUAUAAAACCACUGGAUUUCAUUAAUCACCUUUUUUGUGUAUGGUGCGAUAAAGUUGGUUCUAGACAAACAAAUAGUGAAAGCUGAAGAACAGAUUUGCAAACGGACCGUGAAAUGCUUGGACAUGUUGUAUCCUUCAUGGCACCGGCUCAUCUUGCACGUUUUCUCAGCCAGAAGUGUCCAGACCUUUCUUUUCUUGAUUGUACGUUUGUGCAGUGCUUUGAAAGGAGCAGAGACGUCGGAAAGAGCGUACUAGGCUAGAGGAGCAUUCCAGGUUCAGUCACUCUUUCCAUGGAACUGAACAGCAUGCCAGUUCUGACAGCGACUGCAAAGGAAAUGUCACUGGAUCUUUCUGAAGGACUGUUCUGUCUGACUGUGACUACAAAAUCAGCUGAUAGCGCAGUGGAGGAUCUUGCUGUUUGACUUGAAUCUGUCUGGCCUGUACCUGAAGAACACGUUUGGACUGUGUGCUGCUGCAGUGAGUCAUCCUGCUUUCCCAACAGCGCACCCAUCCCGAAAACAGACGCCUUAUUAGAGUGCUUCCACUUUGAGAUGUUUCCACGAGUUCCACUAGGAGGAGGGCACCAUUUCCAAUUAAGGAUGCAGGGUAAACUACUUUACAAGAGUAUGGUGAAACUCAGGACAGCGAUGGAACAGCUUUUUACUGGUAUGAAAUCUGAACUUUGCAAAGUUGCUUGCAGGCUUGGUCACCAGCGUAGCAAUAGCAAAUAAUAACACUUGAAUUGUAUCUGUGCUGUCUUCUGUGGCUGUAUAUGUUUCAGGUUGAGGUCCCACAAGCUUGAAAUGCAAAGAAGUUGUGUGUUUCACAUCUCUAACCAUCCUGUGUUUCUUACCAAGCUUCCAAUACUGAGUAAAUUGAUGCAGGACAGACCAAAACAAUGUUUCUUGUAACUUUUUCUCUGUGAAAGCGUGUAUGUUUUAGAUACUGAGCUGGAUCUGGCCAUAGAGACUCUGAGCUUUGCUCCUGUAACAGGAACAUGAGUGGUAUGUAAUUCACAGGACUUUUGCUUGUGUUAGCAGGAAACUCUGCUCUGUUCCAAACUGAGAGCACAAAAUCUUUGGGGAGGAGAAAAAGACAAUCAGGCCUUAAUACCAGAAGACUGGGAAUGAUUGUGGUUACUUCCAGAGACAGGAUUACUUGAUGAAAAUUGAGAUCUAAUGUGGGAUUAAACAUACAUUUCCUUGUUAUACUGGUGGUGCAGACCUGUCAUUAUAACAGUUCAGCCUAUGCAGGUGUUAUUGCUGUCUGGAAGAUGAUGUCUGCUGACUGAGUGAAAGGAGAAGCAAAAGCGUAUGACUGUGUAAAAUGAUUUGUUUUUCCUCAAUUAAUUGUCUAAAUAAGUGAGGUGUUUUAGAAACAACAGCUGAUUGAACAAUCUAAAAUCAGGCAAAAAAGUUAAACCUCAUGGUUUUAUUUAUCUUCAGCAUGCAAGUGCCUAGUCCCUUUUAUCUGCUAAGAAUGUUUUAGCUUUCUUUCUCACCUUGCCUCUCCUAAUCCCUGAAGAACACUUGUGCUGCUGUAGGAAUGGAGCUGGCUGGUGAGAUCUCUGCCUUUGCAUCGCCAGGGAAGGCUUCUGCCCGGCCUGUGCGGACAUACAGUGCACUAAAAUCGUAGCACAGCGUGGAGUUCAUUGGAUCCUGGAUGUGCUUUUGAAUUUAGAAAAACCUUGUAAAAUCCACAUUUACCUGUGUGUGAAUCUCAGGCUGUGGCACUGCAGUGGCCCAUGGCCCACAGGGAAGAGCUGGGCGUCACCUUCCGAUUGCUGCAUUGGCAACUGGUGUUUUGUGGAACAGUAAAUGGGUAAUACUGAUUGCAUCAGGGCUUGUUGUGCUGGGUACCACAUUCUUAAACUUGUUAGAAGGUAAUAAUAAUCAAACUAUACUUCACUACUUAAAUGAAGCUUAAUUUUAGCCAAGUGGUUUUUGGAUGGGAAUGGCUAAGGCAAACUUUGGGUUUGAAAUAUUUAUUAUUGCUUCUAGAGUUUUGCACACAAAUUUCAGUUGCAGCCUGAUGUAAGCGGGUUCUAGCAUUCCAGCAGAUGGCUCUUCAGUGUCCCUUUUGCAACCCAUAUUGGGGAAAAAAAAAGCCCGAAAGAUUGAGAAAUGAGACAGAAGAUUAUGGCUACCUAGCUUAGUUUCAAUAUUUAUUGUUGUAUUUUUGUCACUGUUUUUCCUUUUCGAGGUUUUCUGGACUUUGGCUCUGUUCUUCGCAACCUGUGGUGGUUCGUCGUGUGCUCCCAUCAGCACUGUAAGAAGGACCUCACUGUUUAGAACCACUUCUGCUUGCCAUCAUUUAAAAAACAAAGGAACCAAAUACUAUUUCACUUUUUCCUGGAUUUCUGUACUUUUAAAUUGAAUUUUAGGAAGACGGAUCUUAACUACCUUUUAGUGGAGGUGAGAUAGAGGAAAUAGUUAUGUAACUGCUCAGUAUAUUUGCCUUCACCUGAGUCAUCUAAGUGCCCUCUGAGAUACCUGCUGCUCUGCAAGGUUCACAUGGAAUAGUUGUGAGGCUUGGUAAUUCCAUGCAAUGAGGAAGGCAGAACAGGCUGACAAUCAAUUUUAUUCUCAGAAAUGGACAUCGGUGCUUGGUUUUUUAGCAUGGGAUUUGUGUUGAGAGAAGGAGAAUUGAAAAGACAAAUUUUGAUGUGUUGUUCAUUGAUCAUCUCCUGGAGAACUGCACAGCACUGCAUCUUCUAGAGAGGAAGGGAGCUGCAGACCUUUGGGAGAUGCAGACUGGUAAGACACUGGUGCAACUUUUCUUUGCUGGCCGUAGUUAACAGUUUUGCUUUUCUAGCUUUCGUUUCUUUCCAACUUUUUACCAGUAUUACAGCUGGGAGGUGUUAGCAUGUUCUUAACCACCAUUAAAAAUCCCCAACCACCAGCACGUGGAGCUUUAUGAGAAGAUGGAUUUUUUUCAGUUGGGCUGUUACUACAGGUGUCACAGGGAGCUGGGGCAGGGACCCCUGAGGGGAGCCUGUGUGGAGCCAGUGAGGUCCUGAGCUGAGCUGGUGGUGCUGGUUUAUUGCGUUUCUGGGCUGAUAGAACAGUAUUGUGUCAGGACGUUCCCAGAAGUGUCUAAGCUGUUUACAGAGAGAAUGUAACCGUGAAAGCAGCAUGGUUGUGCUCAUCUUGUGCUUGAUUGCAGGAAUCUGGACCUGAGGUGGUUUGACCUCUGCCUGCAGCUUCUCCUGCAUUGUUCACAAAUGGGUCAGACCCAUGUGCAUCCUUUCCAGUUUCUCUCAAGAGCCUGGUGAGAGGGAAGUUCCUGAUCUUGCCAAAACACAAACAGAAAAUAAAAAAGGUGUAGUUUUCUUUACAUGCUUUCUCCCAUAGCUUUCCAGCUCUUGAAGCUUUGCCAUGGAGGUCUGUGCUUGUCUCUGUGUGACCCCUUCCCCUUAGGGCUAGCACCCUUUCCCCUUUUCACAGUGAUUUCCUAGGAGGCUGGAAGACCAAGUUCUACCCGUCUUGUGUUUGCAGUAAGUAAAAAUCUUUCAGUCCUCUCGUUCUUUGGUGGGUUUUUGUCCAUGGAUACUGGCAGAACUUCCUGAUGUCACUGAGAGCCUUGGGUUAAUGACUGAGAGGUGGCAGCAGUAGGUGGUAUCGUUUGGGGUGUUGCUGUUUGAAGUGAUGCUGCUUCACUCUAAAUACCUUCCUGUUGUGUUGAGGUCCUCCCGCCUCUGCGAUACUGCCUUCCUAGCGUUGCUGACUGCCAGCUUGGAAGAAUUUCUGUCUUCCAGAACAGUACAAGAGGUAGCAGAAGGGGUGAAAUCAACCCUUUAUUGGCUCUGUUGUCUGAGUCCUAGAUACAGUAACCUGCUUUUUGAUGCAAAUUACGCUUCUUAUGAAGACUUUUUAUUAGGUCCAGAUUUCAGCUAGGUUUGAGUGGGCUCUAGAACAUCCUGCCUGCAUGUUGGUGGCAGAAACCCAUCAACUGUUGCUGCUGCUUUGAAUUUAUUGGUCUGAUCCUUUUGAAGCAAGUGUUUUCCUUCUAGAUCCCUUGAUUUCUGGGCUCCGGCCUGUGCUGGACCACCAGUCUGGCUCGAUGUGUGUCUUGUUCUCUUUAGGGUUCAAGAAAUGAAGAUUUCUUUGGUUUCAUUUAUUUUUUUUAGGGAAAUAGCAUGUUGUGAUCACAGCUGUCAGGUAACUCUUGACUCUUAGAAGUCGGAGUUUCUCCAAAACUGUUCCUGGUGGAUUAUCUUAAAAAAGAGAACAGGUAAAUGCCAGGUACUGUCACCACUGCACAGCUUUAUGAAAGGCCUAUGCAGAUAUUGGUGAAGUGACUCUUGUGUUUUAUUUCAUCUGCAGGAUAUUCAGGUUGCCUUCAACCAAACAGUUUCUUUCUCCUUAAUAGACAAUUUGGAAAAACUAAUGAUCUGUUCCAGAGUAGUUGGGAUUACUUUUUAUUCUGUAUGCGUAGAAGUAGUAUCCACUCUGUGGUGGGAGAGACAGUUAAAGAGAAGAAAGCCUUACCACUAAAGUCAGUGAACACGGAUGUUUAUUACUUAUCCUGGACCAAGCCUCAGACAGACUGAUAUUCAAAGGCUGAAGUGUAGAAAUAGCUUGUCUCAGCUCUGGCAGUUUGUCGCAUCUCAGUGAGCUGAAGCAGUAGCUCAGGCAGCCAUCGCCUGCCUUCUUAUUUCCAUGGUCAGCCCUGAGUUUUGGGUUAUAGACGAUCGCAGAAUCAUAGAAUGGUUUGGGUUGGAAGCGAUCAUCCAGUUCCACCCCCUGCCACGGGCAGCAACACCUCCCACUGGAUCAGGCUGCUCAAAGCCUCAUCCAGCCUGGCCUUGAACACCACCAGGGACGGGGCAGCCACAGCUUCCCUGGGCAACUUGGGCCAAUUCCUCCCCACCCUCAUUGUGAAGAAUUUCCUCCUAAUGUCUAGUCUAAAUCUUCCCCUCUCCAAUGUGAAGCCAUUUCCCCUCGUCCCUCUGUAAAAAGUCCCUCCCCAUCUUUCUUGUAGCCCUCUUCACAUGCUCCAAGAUUGCUAUAAGGUUUUCUCCGAGCUUUUUUUCUCCAGUCUGAACAACGUCAGAUCUCUCAGCCUGUCCUCAUAUGGGAGGUGCUCUAUUGUACGGAUGCAGAGAAUUCUAGCUCCUUGUGAAAAAUGAAUCAGGGUCUUUCUGAGUAUUCUGCAGUAAUUGAGGACAUUUGAUUGCAUGUAACCAGAUGACUUGCCUUUGGCUUUGUGCUCCCAGAUAGGCAGGAGACUGAUGUAACGUAGUCUCAGGCUAAUUGCAGCUUCUUUAAACCCUGUGUGGCAGUAUAUCAGCUAUUUACAUAAUAAUAUUACUGAUUAGGAAUCUCAAUUAAAUUCUUCAUGAUGUUAAUGAAGAGGGCAGCAGAGCCUUUCUGAGAUUGUGAGGAUGAUUUUAUUCACAUUAUUUAUAAUAGAGAUCAAUCUCAUUUGCUGCGUUUGUAUUUGCUAAAUGCCAGCUUCCCUUUUCCUUGGCACAGGGUUAGAGGAUGUGUGCUCUGUUGUUAUAAUAACUUUCUGCUGUUUGAAAUGUAAUUAUUUCUACUCUCAUUUGGUUUUAGGUGAUGAAUAGACACUGAUGGGCACUAAAGCACAGACUUGUAGUGUGAGCUGUGAUGGCACGUGCUUAUAUCUUGUCCGGUGGUCUGAUUUGUCUGGGGAAGGCUUAGAGGCCACAUGUCUCUUGGCCAUAGUUUUCUCUGUUCUCAGUUCAUUCAUUUCAGCAUCAAUUGAAUUGUUUGUCUUUAUAAUAGCAUAUCUGAGAGCUGCGCUGCACCAGAGCUGGUAAGUUUGGGUGUGGGAGGGGAUUGACAACCAAGCCCUCAAUACUGAACCUGUUCUAGUGUUUUCUGAUCUAAUCCAUAAAAUUUCAUGGACGGAUGUUGGAUUGAUCAGACGGCUGCUGAAACUUUAACAGAAUUUUGAGAGACAGGAUGUGUUCUUAGCAUUGGAAAGGAAGAGAGACCAGUUUGAGAACUAGAUUUCUAAGCCUUCCUGAAGUACUGUUUUUGUCCUUUGAGAUCACUGAUCUAAUCGGCAAGGGGGCUGUCCUGUUCCGUUUUCUGAUUGAGAGCCAGCGUCUGCAGUGCUUGUUGCUGGAAGCUGUUGGGUUGUCUCAUUGAUUUGUCUGCUCGGAGUUCAGCUGAGUGCUGCUCUCUGGUACGGUGCUUAUUGCUGGUCAAGAACUCCUGUUUCCAGACAAGUUUAGGUCACGUGGGUUCUGAGGGCUAAUGAAAGCAUUAGCUAAUGUAUCUAUUGAUCCUUUGGUUUUGGUUAUAAAGGACUGGCCUGUCGGUUUUGUUUUGAUAGAUCAUUAGGUCUCUGGAGUUCUUCUGUAGGUCACCAAGCAAAUAGCGUCAGGUAUGCUUUGCUACGUAGAACCAUGUGUAGACAACAAGGCUUUGUUAUUUAUACCCUGAAAUAAGCAAAAUUUUAGGAGAUACAGUAUCUUAAUGCCACAUCUUGGAAGAAUGGUGUAGAAAUUCUUGAAUAGGAGUCUUAAUUUAACUGUCAUUAAAACUGCAUACAAUCUUACCUCUGCAGUGUCACACAUUGGGGAGGAGCUCUAUUCCAGAAGAUCCCCACCACCCGCCUUUCGUGGCCAGUGCUUCGAGCAGGGUUGUGCCCACGGUAUCGGCUUCAGGUGGGUGUGUUACGUGUAUUUGCAGUGUUCUCUCUCGUUCUAUGCAGUGUACCAGAAACUGCACGUGCCUUGUAUAGUUUGUUUCCUACCCAGUCCUCUUGUAAUGUCCAGUUUUUCUAAUAAACAUCUUUUGAAGUCAUUGCUUUCUGGCU